UACGUGAGGGUGCGAGCGUUGCCCGGAUUUAUUGGGCGUAAAGGGCGCGCAGGCGGUACGGCACGUCCGUUGUGAAAUCGCUACGGCUCAACUGGGCGGGGUCAGCGGAUACGGCCGCACUUGAGCAAGCUAGGGGGCAAUGGAAUUCCCGGUGUAGUGGUGGGAAUGCGUAGAUAUCAGGAAGAACACCCGUGGACUAAGGCGGCUCUCUAGUACGGUACUGACGCUGAGACGCGAAGCGUGGGAGCGAACAGG
rnacentral:rRNA from 1 species